GAUGAACGCUGACAGAAUGCUUAACACAUGCAAGUCGACUCGAGUCUUCAGACUUGGGUGGCGCACGGGUGAGUAACGCGUAAAGAACUUGCCUCUUAGACCGGGACAACAUCUGGAAACGGAUGCUAAUACCGGAUAUUAUGGUUUUUUCGCAUGGAGGAAUCAUGAAAGCUAGAUGCGCUAAGAGAGAGCUUUGCGUCCCAUUAGCUGGUUGGUGAGGUAACGGCCCACCAAGGCAAUGAUGGGUAGCCGGCCUGAGAGGGUGAACGGCCACAAGGGGACUGAGACACGGCCCUUACUCCUACGGGAGGCAGCAGUGGGGAAUAUUGGACAAUGGACCGCAAGUCUGAUCCAGCAAUUCUGUGUGCACGAUGACGUUUUUCGGAAUGUAAAGUGCUUUCAGUCGGGAAGAAGUCAGUGACGGUACCGACAGAAGAAGCGACGGCUAAAUACGUGCCAGCAGCCGCGGUAAUACGUAUGUCGCAAGCGUUAUCCGGAUUUAUUGGGCGUAAAGCGCGUCUAGGCGGCAAGGAAAGUCUGAUGUGAAAAUGCGGAGCUCAACUCCGUAUGGCGUUGGAAACUGCCUUACUAGAGUACUGGAGAGGUAGGCGGAACUACAAGUGUAGAGGUGAAAUUCGUAGAUAUUUGUAGGAAUGCCGAUGGGGA
rnacentral:rRNA from 1 species